CUCAUAAAUAAAUAAAUAUUAUAAACAACUCAAUAAUGAGGUAUUUUGAGAAGAUAAUUAAAAGUUGACUUUUGACUUUUAAUUAAACUUUUUAAUUUUUUUGAAAGUGACUUAAAAAGUUGGUAAAAAGUUUUUUUGUUUUUUGUUUUUUAAAUUAAUAUUUAUUUACGAUGACACAUCACAAUAAAAUAAUCAAAAUACUCCAUCCAACUUAGGAAAUUUACAUUUUGCCCUAACCCUCAAGAUGUAAACAUGAAAGAUAGUUACGUAAUUUCACACUGUGCGUUUUGAACACUUCCCAAAUAAUUUUUGUUUCUUUUGUAGCUACUGUAACGUUUUUAUAAAGUUGCAAAACGUGACUUUUUACUACGAUUUCCAAAUAACCACAAAAUAUUAUACUUAAUACUAAUCAUCACAUCAACCGUUAUUGCAUUAUCAACUACCUAAGAUACACGAGUCCUUCCUUAAGCGGAUUCCUAUUUUGGUCCUUAUCCUUUAAGGUAUAAGAAGCAAUUUUCAACUAUUAUUCUCGUUCCAAUAGUAGAUCUUUACGUGUUACUCAACUAUUCACCCCAGAAAACUCCACUUCCUGUCCAACUUUCAUUCAUUAAGCAUGCUUCCAAUAGUAGGUUAUUAUGCAUUACUCAGCAAUUCACUACAAAAAAACUCCAUUUUCUGUCCAACUUGUUUUAUUAAGCAUGCUCCCAAUAGUAAAUUCGUACAUGUUACUCACCUAUUCACCAUGAAAACUCCACUUUCCGUCCAACUUGCAUUUCUUAAACAUGUCGACAACAUUCAUUCCCAAUUAAAGCAAAAAACUCUCCCCAAUCAAAAUAGUAGAGGUCAUCAUAACUUCACCCCUUUCAAUUCACAUAAUUAGUAAAUACAUUUUAUAUUUAUAAUUAUACCAUCAAAUAAAAAAACUAGUAUGAAUAUUAAUACACACCGGUAUAUAUUUUUUAUUUAAAUAUUUUUCAAAUUUAAAAAGCAAUAAUUUAAAGUGUCAACUAAAAAAUAAUAAUGUGUCAAACACUGAAAUAGCCAAAUAGUAGUACUUCCCAUUAUUUGAAAUUCCACAUAUAGACACCCUCCUUUAUUUCCAAGGAGUUACAUUGUCAUUUCCCUCUAACCCUUACCAGAAAACAGUAUUUACAAUUUUAUCAGACCAUAACAAAGUCAAAAUAAAAAAAUAAAAUAAAGAAAAACUUGUGUAACAUUAAAAAACCACUCUAACCAAGCACCCUACAUAUAUUUUUCAGCUAAAAACUUCCAACCUUUUUCAUCUUCACCCAUUUAGUCAUUCCCAUUGUCUUAUUCUCACUCUAGCCCUUCUAUUCCCAUCAUAUUUCUAUCAGCUUGCUUCUAUAUAUACAACACAAUACAUUAGAGGAGUUGGGUAGUAGUAGUGCUAAGGUUUCCCCAAACACUGG